GCUGGGGUGUAGCUCAGUGGUACAGCAUGUGUUUAACAUACUUGAGGCCCUGGGUUCCAUUCCCAGCCUCAGCA
rnacentral:tRNA from 1 species